rnacentral:rRNA from 1 species
UGGGGAAUUUUGGACAAUGGGCGCAAGCCUGAUCCAGCCAUGCCGCGUGCAGGAUGAAGGCCUUCGGGUUGUAAACUGCUUUUGUACGGAACGAAAAGGUGCCUUCUAAUCAAGGGCGCUCAUGACGGUACCGUAAGAAUAAGCACCGGCUAACUACGUGCCAGCAGCCGCGGUAAUACGUAGGGUGCGAGCGUUAAUCGGAAUUACUGGGCGUAAAGCGUGCGCAGGCGGUUUUGUAAGACAGAGGUGAAAUCCCCGGGCUCAACCUGGGAACUGCCUUUGUGACUGCAAGGCUGGGGUGCGGCAGAGGGGGAUGGAAUUCCGCGUGUAGCAGUGAAAUGCGUAGAUAUGCGGAGGAACACCGAUGGCGAAGGCAAUCCCCUGGGCCUGCACUGACGCUCAUGCACGAAAGCGUGGGGAGCAAACA